rnacentral:rRNA from 1 species
UCAGGCCUAACACAUGCAAGUCGAGCGGAAACGAGUUAUCUGAACCUUCGGGGAACGAUAACGGCGUCGAGCGGCGGACGGGUGAGUAAUGCCUAGGAAAUUGCCCUGAUGUGGGGGAUAACCAUUGGAAACGAUGGCUAAUACCGCAUAAUGCCUACGGGCCAAAGAGGGGGACCUUCGGGCCUCUCGCGUCAGGAUAUGCCUAGGUGGGAUUAGCUAGUUGGUGAGGUAAUGGCUCACCAAGGCGACGAUCCCUAGCUGGUCUGAGAGGAUGAUCAGCCACACUGGAACUGAGACACGGUCCAGACUCCUACGGGAGGCAGCAGUGGGGAAUAUUGCACAAUGGGCGCAAGCCUGAUGCAGCCAUGCCGCGUGUGUGAAGAAGGCCUUCGGGUUGUAAAGCACUUUCAGUCGUGAGGAAGGUGGUAGUGUUAAUAGCACUAUCAUUUGACGUUAGCGACAGAAGAAGCACCGGCUAACUCCGUGCCAGCAGCCGCGGUAAUACGGAGGGUGCGAGCGUUAAUCGGAAUUACUGGGCGUAAAGCGCAUGCAGGUGGUUUGUUAAGUCAGAUGUGAAAGCCCGGGGCUCAACCUCGGAAUAGCAUUUGAAACUGGCAGACUAGAGUACUGUAGAGGGGGGUAGAAUUUCAGGUGUAGCGGUGAAAUGCGUAGAGAUCUGAAGGAAUACCGGUGGCGAAGG